rnacentral:misc_RNA from 1 species
GAUGAAGAACGCAGUGAAAUGCGAUAAGUAGUGUGAAUUGCAGAAUUCAGUGAAUCAUCGAAUCUUUGAACGCACAUUGCGCCCCCUGGUAUUCCGGGGGGCAUGCCUGUUCGAGCGUCAUUUCACCACUCAAGCCUCGCUUGGUAUUGGGCAACGCGGUCCGCCGCGUGCCUCAAAUCGACCGGCUGGGUCUUCUGUCCCCUAAGCGUUGUGGAAACUAUUCGCUAAAGGGUGUUCGGGAGGCUACGCCGUAAAACAACCCCAUUUCUAAGGUUGACCUCGGAUCAGGUAGGGAUACCCGCUGAACUUAAGCAUAUCAAUAAGCGGAGGA